rnacentral:rRNA from 1 species
CCUACGGGUGACAGCAGUGGGGAAUAUUGCACAAUGGGGGAAACCCUGAUGCAGCGACGCCGCGUGAGCGAUGAAGUAUUUCGGUAUGUAAAGCUCUAUCAGCAGGGAAGAAAAUGACGGUACCUGACUAAUAAGCCCCGGCUAACUACGUGCCAGCAGCCGCCGUAAUACGGAGGGGGCAAGCGUUAUCCGGAUUUACUGGGUGUAAAGGGAGCGUAGACGGCGGUGCAAGCCAGAUGUGAAAGCCCGGGGCUCAACCCUGGGACUGCUUUGGAAACUGUAAAACUGGAGUGCAGGAGAGGUAAGUGGAAUUCCUAGUGUAGCGGUGAAAUGCGUAGAUAUUAGGAGGAACACCAGUGGCGAAGGCGGCUUACUGGACUGUAACUGACGUUGAGGCUCGAAGGCGUGGGGAGCAAACAGGAUUAGAUACCCUGGUAGUC